UACGUAGGGGGCAAGCGUUGUCCGGAAUCAUUGGGCGUAAAGCGCGCGUAGGCGGCCCGGUAAGUCCGCUGUAAAAGUCCAGGGCUCAACCCUGGAAAGCCGGUGGAUACUGUCGGGCUAGAGUCCGGAAGAGGCGAGUGGAAUUCCCUGUGUAGCGGUGAAAUGCGUAGAGAUGGGGGAGAACACUCGUGGCGAAGGCGGCCAGCUAGACCAGUUCUGACACUGAGGCGCGACAGCGUGGGGAGCAAACAGG
rnacentral:rRNA from 1 species